rnacentral:rRNA from 1 species
UUUUAUGGAGAGUUUGAUCCUGGCUCAGGACGAACGCUGGCUGCGUGCUUAACACAUGCAAGUCGAACGCUGAAGCCUGGUGCUUGCACCGGGUGGAUGAGUGGCGAACGGGUGAGUA